rnacentral:rRNA from 1 species
UUUAUGGAGAGUUUGAUCCUGGCUCAGGAUGAACGCUGGCGGCGUGCCUAAUACAUGCAAGUCGAGCGAACGGACGAGAAGCUUGCUUCUCUGAUGUUAGCGGCGGACGGGUGAGUAACACGUGGAUAACCUACCUAUAAGACUGGGAUAACUUCGGGAAACCGGAGCUAAUACCGGAUAAUGUUUUGAACCGCAUGGUUCAAAAGUGAAAGACGGUCUUGCUGUCACUUAUAGAUGGAUCCGCGCUGCAUUAGCUAGUUGGUAAGGUAACGGCUUACCAAGGCAACGAUGCAUAGCCGACCUGAGAGGGUGAUCGGCCACACUGGAACUGAGACACGGUCCAGACUCCUACGGGAGGCAGCAGUAGGGAAUCUUCCGCAAUGGGCGAAAGCCUGACGGAGCAACGCCGCGUGAGUGAUGAAGGUCUUCGGAUCGUAAAACUCUGUUAUUAGGGAAGAACAUAUGUGUAAGUAACUGUGCACAUCUUGACGGUACCUAAUCAGAAAGCCACGGCUAACUACGUGCCAGCAGCCGCGGUAAUACGUAGGUGGCAAGCGUUAUCCGGAAUUAUUGGGCGUAAAGCGCGCGUAGGCGGUUUUUUAAGUCUGAUGUGAAAGCCCACGGCUCAACCGUGGAGGGUCAUUGGAAACUGGAAAACUUGAGUGCAGAAGAGGAAAGUGGAAUUCCAUGUGUAGCGGUGAAAUGCGCAGAGAUAUGGAGGAACACCAGUGGCGAAGGCGACUUUCUGGUCUGUAACUGACGCUGAUGUGCGAAAGCGUGGGGAUCAAACAGGAUUAGAUACCCUGGUAGUCCACGCCGUAAACGAUGAGUGCUAAGUGUUAGGGGGUUUCCGCCCCUUAGUGCUGCAGCUAACGCAUUAAGCACUCCGCCUGGGGAGUACGACCGCAAGGUUGAAACUCAAAGGAAUUGACGGGGACCCGCACAAGCGGUGGAGCAUGUGGUUUAAUUCGAAGCAACGCGAAGAACCUUACCAAAUCUUGACAUCCUUUGACAACUCUAGAGAUAGAGCCUUCCCCUUCGGGGGACAAAGUGACAGGUGGUGCAUGGUUGUCGUCAGCUCGUGUCGUGAGAUGUUGGGUUAAGUCCCGCAACGAGCGCAACCCUUAAGCUUAGUUGCCAUCAUUAAGUUGGGCACUCUAAGUUGACUGCCGGUGACAAACCGGAGGAAGGUGGGGAUGACGUCAAAUCAUCAUGCCCCUUAUGAUUUGGGCUACACACGUGCUACAAUGGACAAUACAAAGGGCAGCGAAACCGCGAGGUCAAGCAAAUCCCAUAAAGUUGUUCUCAGUUCGGAUUGUAGUCUGCAACUCGACUACAUGAAGCUGGAAUCGCUAGUAAUCGUAGAUCAGCAUGCUACGGUGAAUACGUUCCCGGGUCUUGUACACACCGCCCGUCACACCACGAGAGUUUGUAACACCCGAAGCCGGUGGAGUAACCUUUUAGGAGCUAGCCGUCGAAGGUGGGACAAAUGAUUGGGGUGAAGUCGUAACAAGGUAGCCGUAUCGGAAGGUGCGGCUGGAUCACCUCCUUU